rnacentral:rRNA from 1 species
GAUGAACGCUGGCGGCGUGCCUAAUACAUGCAAGUCGAGCGAACAGACGAGGAGCUUGCUCCUCUGACGUUAGCGGCGGACGGGUGAGUAACACGUGGAUAACCUACCUAUAAGACUGGGAUAACUUCGGGAAACCGGAGCUAAUACCGGAUAAUAUCUUGAACCGCAUGGUUCAAUAGUGAAAGACGGUUUUGCUGUCACUUAUAGAUGGAUCCGCGCCGCAUUAGCUAGUUGGUAAGGUAACGGCUUACCAAGGCAACGAUGCGUAGCCGACCUGAGAGGGUGAUCGGCCACACUGGAACUGAGACACGGUCCAGACUCCUACGGGAGGCAGCAGUAGGGAAUCUGCCGCAGUGGGCGAAAGCCUGACGGAGCAACGCCGCGUGAGUGAUGAAGGUCUUCGGAGCGUAAAACUCUGUUAGUAGGGAAGAACAAAUGUGUAAGUAACUAUGCACGUCGUGACGGUACCUAAUCAGAAAGCCACGGCUAACUACGUG